UUAUUAAUUAUUUAGGACAAUUAAUAAUUAUUUAGGACAAUUAAUAAUUAAUAAUACAUCAUAUAUAUUUAUUUAGAACAAUUAAUAAUUAUUUAGGACAAUUAUACAUCAUAUACAUCAAAUAAGAAAAAUAAAAAAUAAUUAUUUAGGAUAUGCAUAAUGUAUAUAAGAAAAAUAAAACAUCAUAUACAUUUAUUUAGGACAAUUAAUAAUUAUUUAAGACAAUUAAUAAUUUUAAGAAAAAUAAAACAUUAUAUACAUUUAUCUAGGACAAUUAAUAAUUAAUAAUUAGUUAUGACAUAUAUAGCACAAUUAAUAAUUAAUAAUACAUCAUAUAUAUUUAUUUAAAACAAUUAAUAAUUAUUUAUAACAAUUAUACAUCAUAUACAUCAAAUAAGAAAAAUAAAAAAUAAAAAAUAAAAAAAUAAAACAAUGGCCGUUGGUGGGCCGGCCCAGCUGGGCAAGCGGCCCACCGGCCCCUCCCCCUCCCCCUCCCUCUCACCCUCGCCCUCAGCACGGCCGCAAGGCCGCCGCCGCCGCCUCGGGUGACCACCCCGACGCUCUGGCCGCCUCGACUCCCCCCGUCUCCCAACGCCGCC
rnacentral:lncRNA from 1 species